AUUGAACGCUGGCGGCAGGCCUAACACAUGCAAGUCGAGCGGAUGAAGGGAGCUUGCUCCUGGAUUCAGCGGCGGACGGGUGAGUAAUGCCUAGGAAUCUGCCUGGUAGUGGGGGAUAACGUCCGGAAACGGGCGCUAAUACCGCAUACGUCCUGAGGGAGAAAGUGGGGGAUCUUCGGACCUCACGCUAUCAGAUGAGCCUAGGUCGGAUUAGCUAGUUGGUGGGGUAAAGGCCUACCAAGGCGACGAUCCGUAACUGGUCUGAGAGGAUGAUCAGUCACACUGGAACUGAGACACGGUCCAGACUCCUACGGGAGGCAGCAGUGGGGAAUAUUGGACAAUGGGCGGAAGCCUGAUCCAGCCAUGCCGCGUGUGUGAAGAAGGUCUUCGGAGUGUAAAGCACUUUAAGUUGGGAGGAAGGGCAGUAAGUUAAUACCUUGCUGUUUUGACGUUACCAACAGAAUAAGCACCGGCUAACUUCGUG
rnacentral:rRNA from 1 species